AGUUUGAUCCUGGCUCAGGAUGAACGCUAGCUACAGGCUUAACACAUGCAAGUCGAGGGGCAGCAUUUCAGUUUGCUUGCAAACUGGAGAUGGCGACCGGCGCACGGGUGAGUAACACGUAUCCAACCUGCCGAUAACUCGGGGAUAGCCUUUCGAAAGAAAGAUUAAUACCCGAUGGUAUAAUCAGACCGCAUGGUCUUGUUAUUAAAGAAUUUCGGUUAUCGAUGGGGAUGCGUUCCAUUAGGCAGUUGGUGAGGUAACGGCUCACCAAACCUUCGAUGGAUAGGGGUUCUGAGAGGAAGGUCCCCCACAUUGGAACUGAGACACGGUCCAAACUCCUACGGGAGGCAGCAGUGAGGAAUAUUGGUCAAUGGGCGCGGGCCUGAACCAGCCAAGUAGCGUGAAGGAUGACUGCCCUAUGGGUUGUAAACUUCUUUUAUAUGGGAAUAAAGUUUUCCACGUGUGGAAUUUUGUAUGUACCAUAUGAAUAAGGAUCGGCUAACUCCGUGCCAGCAGCCGCGGUAAUACGGAGGAUCCGAGCGUUAUCCGGAUUUAUUGGGUUUAAAGGGAGCGUAGGUGGACAGUUAAGUCAGUUGUGAAAGUUUGCGGCUCAACCGUAAAAUUGCAGUUGAUACUGGCUGUCUUGAGUACAGUAGAGGUGGGCGGAAUUCGUGGUGUAGCGGUGAAAUGCUUAGAUAUCACGAAGAACUCCGAUUGCGAAGGCAGCUCACUGGACUGCAACUGACACUGAUGCUCGAAAGUGUGGGUAUCAAACAGGAUUAGAUACCCUGGUAGUCCACACAGUAAACGAUGAAUACUCGCUGUUUGCGAUAUACAGUAAGCGGCCAAGCGAAAGCAUUAAGUAUUCCACCUGGGGAGUACGCCGGCAACGGUGAAACUCAAAGGAAUUGACGGGGGCCCGCACAAGCGGAGGAACAUGUGGUUUAAUUCGAUGAUACGCGAGGAACCUUACCCGGGCUUAAAUUGCAUUUGAAUAAUCUGGAAACAGGUUAGCCGCAAGGCAAAUGUGAAGGUGCUGCAUGGUUGUCGUCAGCUCGUGCCGUGAGGUGUCGGCUUAAGUGCCAUAACGAGCGCAACCCUUAUCUUUAGUUACUAACAGGUCAUGCUGAGGACUCUAGAGAGACUGCCGUCGUAAGAUGUGAGGAAGGUGG
rnacentral:rRNA from 1 species